rnacentral:rRNA from 1 species
UCUCAGCUUAUUUUGCGCAGCUUAGGUGGGAGGCUAUGAACCUUUUCUUCUGGGAAGAGGGGAGCCGUCAGUGAGAUACCACUCUUGGUAAGCUAGAGCGCUCAGUCUUAACCGUCAUCCGGUAAGACGACAGUUUCAGGCGGGCAGUUUGACUGGGGCAGUCACCUCCCAAAAGGUAAUGGAGGUGUGCAAAGGUUCCCUCAGGCUGGACGGAAAUCAGCCAUAGAGUGUAAAAGCAAAAGGGAGCUUGACUGCGAGACUGACAUGUCAAGCAGAGACGAAAGUCGGCUUUAGUGAUCCGACGGUGCUGUGUGGAAAGGCCGUCGCUCAACGGAUAAAAGUUACUCUAGGGAUAACA